rnacentral:rRNA from 1 species
UACCCCGAGGAAAAGAAAUCAACCGAGAUUCCCCCAGUAGCGGCGAGCGAACGGGGAGCAGCCCAGAGCCUGAAUCAGUAUGUGUGUUAGUGGAAGCGUCUGGAAAGGCGCGCGAUACAGGGUGACAGCCCCGUACACAAAAAUGCACAUGCUGUGAGCUCGAUGAGUAGGGCGGGACACGUGGUAUCCUGUCUGAAUAUGGGGGGACCAUCCUCCAAGGCUAAAUACUCCUGACUGACCGAUAGUGAACCAGUACCGUGAGGGAAAGGCGAAAAGAACCCCGGCGAGGGGAGUGAAAAAGAACCUGAAACCGUGUACGUACAAGCAGUGGGAGCACGCUUAGGCGUGUGACUGCGUACCUUUUGUAUAAUGGGUCAGCGACUUAUAUUCUGUAGCAAGGUUAACCGAAUAGGGGAGCCGAAGGGAAACCGAGUCUUAACUGGGCGUUAAGUUGCAGGGUAUAGACCCGAAACCCGGUGAUCUAGCCAUGGGCAGGUUGAAGGUUGGGUAACACUAACUGGAGGACCGAACCGACUAAUGUUGAAAAAUUAGCGGAUGACUUGUGGCUGGGGGUGAAAGGCCAAUCAAACCGGGAGAUAGCUGGUUCUCCCCGAAAGCUAUUUAGGUAGCGCCUCGUGAAUUCAUCUCCGGGGGUAGAGCACUGUUUCGGCAAGGGGGUCAUCCCGACUUACCAACCCGAUGCAAACUGCGAAUACCGGAGAAUGUUAUCACGGGAGACACACGGCGGGUGCUAACGUCCGUCGUGAAGAGGGAAACAACCCAGACCGCCAGCUAAGGUCCCAAAGUCAUGGUUAAGUGGGAAACGAUGUGGGAAGGCCCAGACAGCCAGGAUGUUGGCUUAGAAGCAGCCAUCAUUUAAAGAAAGCGUAAUAGCUCACUGGUCGAGUCGGCCUGCGCGGAAGAUGUAACGGGGCUAAACCAUGCACCGAAGCUGCGGCAGCGACGCUGAUGCGUUGUUGGGUA